rnacentral:rRNA from 1 species
GGCAACGGAACUUCACUACCCAACCCAAUGUGAACGUUACCAAACUGUUGCCUCGGCGGGGUCACGCCCCGGGUGCGUCGCAGCCCCGGAACCAGGCGCCCGCCGGAGGAACCAACCAAACUCUUUCUGUAGUCCCCUCGCGGACGUAUUUCUUACAGCUCUGAGCAAAAAUUCAAAAUGAAUCAAAACUUUCAACAACGGAUCUCUUGGUUCUGGCAUCGAUGAAGAACGCAGCGAAAUGCGAUAAGUAAUGUGAAUUGCAGAAUUCAGUGAAUCAUCGAAUCUUUGAACGCACAUUGCGCCCGCCAGUAUUCUGGCGGGCAUGCCUGUCCGAGCGUCAUUUCAACCCUCGAACCCCUCCGGGGGAUCGGCGUUGGGGAUCGGGACCCCUCACACGGGUGCCGGCCCCGAAAUACAGUGGCGGUCUCGCCGCAGCCUCUCCUGCGCAGUAGUUUGCACAACUCGCACCGGGAGCGCGGCGCGUCCACGUCCGUAAAACACCCAACUUUCUGAAAUGUGACCUCGGAUCAUGUAGGUUGGCCCAGG